rnacentral:rRNA from 1 species
CCCUUAGAUGUCCGGGGCUGCACGCGCGCUACACUGAAGGAAUCAGCGUGCUAGAAAACCUUGUUUGACAUGGCUAGGUAACCCGUUGAAAAUCUUUCGUGAUUGGGAUCGGGACUUGCAAAUGUGUCCCUUGAACGAGGAAUUCCCAGUAAGUGCGGGUCAUAAGCUCGCGCUGAUUACGUCCCUGCCCUUUGUACACACCGCCCGUCGCUGCCCGGAACUGAGCCGUUUCGAGAAGACUGGGGACUGCGAACUUUGGGCUGGAAAACAGCUUUUUGUUUGUGGAAACCGCUUUAAUCGCAGCGGCUUGAACCGGGCAAAAGUCGUAACA